GAUGAACGCUGGCGGCGUGCCUAAUACAUGCAAGUCGAACGAGGCCCUUUGUAUUCGUACGAAGGUGUCCUAGUGGCGAACGGGUGAGUAACACGUAGAUGACCUGCCCCGAAGAUAGGGAUAACCCCGGGAAACUGGGGCUAAUACCUAAUGUCCUUCAUGGUGUUAGAGGACCAUGAAGGAAAGGGAGCAAUCCGCUUUGGGAGGGGUCUGCGGCCCAUCAGCUAGUUGGUAGGGUAAUGGCCUACCAAGGCGACGACGGGUAGGGGGCCUGAGAGGGUGGUCCCCCACAAUGGCACUGAAACACGGGCCAUACACCUACGGGUGGCAGCAGUAGGGAAUAUUGCACAAUGGACGAAAGUCUGAUGCAGCAACGCCGCGUGCGCGAUGAAGGCCUUCGGGUUGUAAAGCGCUUUUCUGGGGGAAGAGGAAGGACGGUACCCCAGGAAUAAGUCUCGGCUAACUACGUGCCAGCAGCCGCGGUAAAACGUAGGAGGCGAGCGUUAUCCGGAUUUACUGGGCGUAAAGCGCGUGCAGGCGGUCUGGUAAGUCGGACGUUAAACCUCCCGGCUCAACUGGGAGAGGCCGUUCGAAACUACCAGGCUUGAGGGCAGUAGAGGGAGAUGGAAUUCCG
rnacentral:rRNA from 1 species